UACAGAGGUGUCAAACGUUGUCCGGAAUUACUGGGCGUAAAAGGGCGCGUAGGCGGCCAUAUAAGUCAUGUGUGAAAGCUCUGGGCUCAACCCAGGAAUUGCAUGUGAUACUGUAAGGCUUGAGUUCGGUAGAGGAGGGCGGAAUUCCAGGUGUAGCGGUGAAAUGCGUAGAUAUCUGGAGGAACACCCGUGGCGAAGGCGGCAUCCUGGACCGACGACUGACGCUGAGGCGCGAAAGCGUGGGGAGCAAACAGGG
rnacentral:rRNA from 1 species